ACUAGAACAAGGUGAUUAAUCAAUAGUAUCUGUUUACAAGCUUAUUCAAAUCAAAGUUGCCUAGUAGAAUUCAUCAUUUCUAAAACAGAAAUGCAUCAAGAGUCUCAGAAAAUAAAAAAGGCCCAUUUGCCAAUCAUAUACAGUAAAUAUUCCCUUUUAUUUCUCCAAGCAUACAGAGUAACAUUCAACAAAUAUUCCCACCACAAUUAACCCUAAGCCCUUUUAUAUCAAGUUACUCUCGUGAAUUUAUCUAAAGCCAUCAAGCAAUCUCAGUAUCUCCUCCCCAUAUUUUUUCCUCCUUUAGUUUCAGCUAUGAAUUAUAUUAGCACAGUAAAAGGAUUAAGCACCGACCUUGAUCAGUUGAUAAAUGGAUAA
rnacentral:misc_RNA from 1 species